rnacentral:rRNA from 1 species
AACGAACGCUGGCGGCAUGCCUAACACAUGCAAGUCGAACGAGACCUUCGGGUCUAGUGGCGCACGGGUGCGUAACGCGUGGGAACCUGCCCUUAGGUUCGGAAUAACUCCCCGAAAGGGGUGCUAAUACCGGAUAAUGUCUUCGGACCAAAGAUUUAUCGGCUUUGGAUGGGCCCGCGUUGGAUUAGCUAGUUGGUAGGGUAAAAGCCUACCAAGGCGACGAUCCAUAGCUGGUCUGAGAGGAUGAUCAGCCACACUGGGACUGAGACACGGCCCAGACUCCUACGGGAGGCAGCAGUGGGGAAUAUUGCACAAUGGGCGAAAGCCUGAUCCAGCAAUGCCGCGUGAGUGAUGAAGGCCUUAGGGUUGUAAAGCUCUUUUACCCGGGAUGAUAAUGACAGUACCGGGAGAAUAAGCUCCGGCUAACUCCGUG